AGUGAACGCUGGCGGUAGGCCUAACACAUGCAAGUCGAACGGCAGCACAGUAAGAGCUUGCUCUUACGGGUGGCGAGUGGCGGACGGGUGAGGAAUACAUCUGAAUCUACUUUUUCGUGGGGGAUGACGUAGGGAAACUUACGCUAAUACCGCAUACGACCUACGGGUGAAAGCAGGGGAUCUUCGGACCUUGCGCGAUUGAAUGAGCCGAUGUCGGAUUAGCUAGUUGGCGGGGUAAAGGCCCACCAAGGCGACGAUCCGUAGCUGGUCUGAGAGGAUGAUCAGCCACACUGGAACUGAGACACGGUCCAGACUCCUACGGGAGGCAGCAGUGGGGAAUAUUGGACAAUGGGCGCAAGCCUGAUCCAGCCAUACCGCGUGGGUGAAGAAGGCCUUCGGGUUGUAAAGCCCUUUUGUUGGGAAAGAAAAGCAGCAGGUUAAUACCCCGCUGUUCUGACGGUACCCAAAGAAUAAGCACCGGCUAACUUCGUG
rnacentral:rRNA from 1 species